rnacentral:lncRNA from 1 species
GCAUGGCUUCGCCGGCGCGUCUCCGAUGGUCCAAAGUUUGUCUUUCCUUCCUUCUUUGGCCGAGAUCCGUUGCCCCUACACCUCACCUUCUCUUCAUAUCCUCUGCUGGAGAUGCAGUUGGGGCACGCCAUGGGAGUUCCCCAUCCACCACGGUCGCCGCCGUCAAGGAAUUCUUCAAGGAGAUGUCAAGGACACCAUGGACAUGCAGCUCCUCAAGGUUUUAUCCCUCCUUUCCUCUGAUAUAUAUCAAGUUCUAACAGUACAUUAAUCCAAGCAAUUGUUUUCAGAUCAAUUAAGGAAUCAAUCUCAUGAUGGUUGAUGCUUGAUGCAGCGGAGGAUCACAGAUUCACAGAUGUAAGGAUCGGGAGAAUUGGGCCUCACAUUAUUUUUUCCAGAAUUGGGUGUUGGUACUCUAUAAACUGAAUUGAGUGAGCUAAAUCUGUGCCUCAAAAUUGUAGUCUGUAGCUUUAUGUGUUACGUCUUAAGAUUGAACUAGAAGAUUGCCUUUGGGAGUAGUUUUAGUUGGUAGAUGUUUCAGGCUCCAAAUACACACACAUUAUGUGCUUAAUGUGUGGCAUAAACAUUAUCAAUUUUAUGCUUAGAAACCAAAUCACUGUCCACCCAUUUUAUUUCUUCAUGAGUAUUUUGUGUUGAAAUCAGAUCACCGUUCACCUGUUCUCGUACUGUUGUCUUUAACUUAUUUUGCGGAUUCUUAAUAAAAUGCUCAGUUCAGGAUGUGAUUUUCAGUUUUAGGCAUUUGAU